ACUUAUCUCUGUUAUUGUAUUUCAUAUUUAUAUAGUCUCUAACAAUUCUUCUGUGCAAUCUCUUCAGUCUUAUACUCUGUACUUAUAUAGUUCUAACAAUUCUUCUGUGUAACUCUCAAUGUUCUUCAACUCUGUGCUCUGCUUUGUGCUUCACUGUGAAAUGACUUCUGAUAUUCUUUCACUUCAAUGUUUUUUCUAUAAGCAUUCUCUUCAUACAAUCUUUUCUUCUGAUCUCUUUUCUCUUUCUUUUCUUAAUCAAUUUAUAAUCUGUAUUUAGAAUAGUGCUAGAUUGUUAAUCGAAGUACACUCAUUACACCCACA
rnacentral:sRNA from 1 species